UACCUGUCACACAACACAAAUAUAUUCGACGAUCUACCCGUUUAUCCCAACGCAACCUAAAACCUAGAGCUUUGAUACCACUUUAACUGUCACGCCCCGAGACCGGGCCUAGGCGAGACAGCUGACGCGCGCCUAUAGACCAGGGGCCUAUAGUCACGCAAGGCGUGAUUAAGCAGGCAUAAACCAACAGUGGAUCACAAAAGCUCAUAUAUCUACUUUACAAGUCCUUUACAUUUACAAAAUGGCUCAAAUAAAUUAUUUUCAAGUCGCCUUCCCACCCACUGGUCCAGCCUAGUCUGGGAUGACUACAUCUUUUGAACAGGCUUGAGUUACAUCGUCUGUAUCUAAAAAUAGAGAAAGCAGGGAUGAGUACGACAAGUCAUACUCAGCAAGCAGAUACUUCACUAUUCAACAAGAGUAGAAUUUAAGGAUAUUGAUACAGUAACAGCGGGUUGACUAUAUCUAAAGGAGCAUAAAUAACGUGACAAUUUGCUGGAGACAAUUUAAUUGGAAAUAGGUAAAAGAACAACAUAACCGGAUAUAAUGAAAAUGGACCAAGAAAUUAUUGGCGUCACACAUGACCGCAAGCUUCCCAACCCGGGAGUCACAGGGGUGAAAUUUCACACUUUUACGCUCUUAAGAGGGGUACUCCAACGUCGACAGUCUCAACUAGAACCACACAGGCGCUAGUAGAGCAGAGCUCUUGUACCCACUAAGACUCGAACACCUAAACCUACUGAUGUCGAUCGCUCCUAUGGAUCCAUCACCGACACGUUCCCGAACAAGGUCCGUCCUUAGUGGAGAACUCAGACAGUCCCAUACCUGAACUGUGACCGGUACAAUACGUUUGCCGUCGUGACACCAAUAUAGAUGGACAGAAUAUGACAUGGGGCUGGAUCAGCUAUAUAGGAUCACUGAAAUAUCAGCCAAGACAAUAAACCCAUGCCUUUACAUGAGUUCCUCUCGUAUCAGACUUUCCAUCAACAAAUGGAUCAUCAAGGACAACAUAUCCUUCAACAAAUGGAUUAUCAAAGACAACAUGUCCUCAAAUAAAACAGGAAUCAACAGAGGAUAAAUAAGAUUCAAGGUCUAGCAACAUAAUCAGAACGAUGAUCAGAGGAGACAACAAUAAGAUAGGAUUCAAGAAGUUAGCAAAGUAACCACUUGCCUCGGAUAAUAUGAUUUGUCCUUUAGAAUAAUAUUCUGCCAGAAGAUUAAACUCCAAUACUCCAUCAUCUUUGUAUAGAAUCUGACAAACACGCAUAUACUAAUAUUCUUCUCACGUAUGGCUCCGUUCUUCCCUCCAGCAGCAUCUACACGAUCUAUAUAUCUUCAAACAUGGACGCAUGCAUACUUGUAUUCUUCAUCUCUCUUCUCUUCGCUCUCUCUCCGCUGGUAUGCUCUAUUUCUCUCAUGCUCUCACUCUUGGUGAUGAGGAUGUGCAAAACGAGUAGCAGCAGCUAUUUAUAGAUGGUGAGCCCAGAGUGAACUCAGCCGAGCUGUUCUUGAAGCACACGAUCAUCUGGACACUACCUAUUAUGUGGCAAGCAUGCAUUGGUCUACGUGGAGAACCUGGUAAAAGAUCAAGCCGCAAUGGCCUUUGACCCUUGCCCCUUGACCCUUCGAACUGCUGCCCCUUUUGCUUGUGCAAAAGCCAAACAAACCUGACCACUAUACAAAACCUCCACGUAGAAAUUUCUUGGUCCUAAAUAUCUAAGGGUGCUGCCAGCACAACCUAGCUUCAUCUAGUACCAGGCCACGUUGGCCCUCUCAUGCAUAGGAUUUUACUUAGCUUGUAAGCAUAGUACAUACGUGUGCAUUCUCAUCAUUACAUGCAUGCACAUCU
rnacentral:lncRNA from 1 species